AUUGAACGCUGGCGGAAUGCUUUACACAUGCAAGUCGAACGGCAGCACGGACUUCGGUCUGGUGGCGAGUGGCGAACGGGUGAGUAAUGUAUCGGCACGUGCCCAGUCGUGGGGGAUAACGUAGUGAAAAUUACGCUAAUACCGCAUACGCUCUAUGGAUGAAAGCGGGGGAUCGCAACACCUCGCGCGAUCGGAGCGGCCGAUAUCAGAUUAGGUAGUUGGUGGGGUAAAGGCCCACCAAGCCAACGAUCUGUAGCUGGUUUGAGAGGACGACCAGCAACACUGGAACGGAGACAGGGUCCAGACUCCUACGGGAGGCAGCAGUGGGGAAUUUUGGACAAUGGGCGAAAGCCUGAUCCAGCCAUUCCGCGUGCAGGAUGAAGGCCCUCGGGUUGUAAACUGCUUUUGUACAGAACGAGAAGGUUUCUACUAAUACUAGGAGCUCAUGACGGUACUGUAAGAAUAAGCACCGGCUAACUACGUGCCAGCCGCCGCAGUAA
rnacentral:rRNA from 1 species